rnacentral:rRNA from 2 species
GAUGCAGCGACGCCGCGUGAGGGAUGACGGCCUUCGGGUUGUAAACCUCUUUCAGCAGGGACGAAGCGAGAGUGACGGUACCUGCAGAAGAAGCACCGGCCAACUACGUGCCAGCAGCCGCGGUAAUACGUAGGGUGCGAGCGUUGUCCGGAAUUACUGGGCGUAAAGAGCUCGUAGGCGGUUUGUCGCGUCGUCCGUGAAAACUUGGGGCUCAACCCCAAGCUUGCGGGCGAUACGGGCAGACUUGAGUACUGCAGGGGAGACUGGAAUUCCUGGUGUAGCGGUGAAAUGCGCAGAUAUCAGGAGGAACACCGGUGGCGAAGGCGGGUCUCUGGGCAGUAACUGACGCUGAG